UCCCACCUUGCCUCCCACCCUCUUCUCCACAGCCUCCCAUGCAAGCCAGAGCUGAGUUGCAUUGUUGCCGACACUCUUGCUUUGUUCAGGUAAAUGCAGCUCCCCUCCCACCCUUCUUCCCUUUUAUUCCCUCUUGGCUUCUCUAAAGAUUGCAGCUCUCGUUUUGCUCCCAGGAGAUCUCGUCGCACCUUUCUCUGGGCUUGAUUUUACUGUCAGUGCAGCUCAGACACUCCUUGGGCCUGGAGAACCCAACGCUGCCUGCCCAUGGAGUGCUUCUCCUGGUUCCAUGCUGGGUUAUUAGGGAUCUUGGCCCCACCGCCUUCCCAGGCUUUGCUGUGUGAGGCUUAGUGGGAUUGGAGGUCCCCAAGUGCCACACAGCAUCACGCAAAACAGAAGCUCAGCCUGGGCCAUUUUCAAGGAUUUUCUACAUAGCCAACUAUUGUUUUUCCUGUCUUUCUGCCAGGUAUCCAGUUCUCUCUACUCAAUAAUCCUGAAAAUGGCCCGUGACAUGGUGGUUUUUUUUUUCCUCUCUUCAAAAUAAUGCAGCAAUUGGAGAAACUGGUAUUUUGCAAGACAGCAGACCCCAGCAGCUGUGCCUCCCUGCGAGCAUCCCAGACACAAGCUGCACCUUGCCAGGCACUUCCUUUUGCUCACCAGAGGAGCUGGGUGCCAGGGCACGCCAAUUCCUGGAGAGUGGGAAGGUCUGGAGGAUGGCAAGGACCUACCUUCAGUGGCUGCAGGACAAAGGGCCAUUCAUCACGCUCCAAACUGCUGCAAUGGGCUCCCGUGCUCCUCUGCAGAAGGGGUUGCGUCCGGAUCCAAGCGAGAAACUUUGCUCCCCAUGGUUGAGGCCGCUCCAGAGAGUAAUGGAGCUUGGCAGGGUUUUAGGAUGCUUUUGGGUGAGAUAUAGGGGCAAGCGCGUUGUCACGCGCCGCUCGGCCUGCAGCAGAUCUGGGUCUGUGGGGAAGCGAGGUGAAACGGAGAGCUCUGCGACUGGCUGAGGAAGUUUCUGCUGUGCACGAGGAGUGUUUUUGGAGAGGUUCCUGAGCCGUGAGUGAUUUAGCUCGUUGUUGAAAUGCUGUUUUUUUCCUCCUGCUCUUUGUCUCUUGCUCCUGUUUGCGCCUCCAGAGUAUUUGUACACAGAGAUGCAUGUGAAGAAAAUAUGUCGCCGUUCAGGAAAGGUUUCUACGUUGUUGCUGAGGAUGGUUGGGUUUCAGUUUGCACCUGCCAGGAGUCAUUCCCCCCUGGCCUCCCAGCUCCCUCUAGGAGCACGUCCCCUCCAACAGCAGUGCCGUACCACACUCCAUUGCAGCAAGAGGUGACCCCAAGGCCUGCAGUGCUGCAAGAGGCUCCCCAGGAGCCGGAGGGCAACUUGUGCAGGUGUCGGGCGGCCAGAGGCUGCCGAGUCCCCAGGACCAGCAGCUAGAGGGAGAUAUGACCUCACGCUCAGGGCCGGGCUCUCCUGCCGCCGAUGCCUGCUGGAAUGCCAAAGAAAAUCCACUCGCUUUCCAAUGCUUAGGGUCCAUGUAAUGUAUGGCCAUAACGCAGGCUUCAUUACGUGGAAUAAGUAAUUCUCGAGAUUAAAGACUUUGAAAAUGGCUCUUGCUGGAGUUUCUGCCAAAGCGUUUCUUAGUCCCUGUCUCCAUGGGGAAGUUUUAUCAGGUGUAUCAUGCUCAGUAUGCGGGGGUCCAGUUACACCAGGAAGGCUCUGUCUAGACACUUUAAUUCCAGCACAAAAAGGGCCUUUUUUUUCCCCUUUAGCUUAAAUUCAUUUGCAAAUGGCCUUCAUGGCAUCGGUGCUGCUUGAUCGGUGUCAGAGUCUCCCAGAGCAGAGCACGACGUUUCGAUGUUUGAAUCCCCUCCCUGCCCUGCCCAAACACCACUCUGCUCCCAUCAUGGCCCCGGCUCAGAAGGUGGAGGUGUUCAAAGUUUUGUUUGGAGGCUCCCCAGGCUCUUGCCCGAGUCCUGCCAGGUCCCAUCUCCUUCCUGUAUAUCUUCAUUUCCAGAUGUGUCUUCCUUUGCUGAUCUCUCCCACAACUCAUCCUUUUCCCUUUGCAGUCCUGAUGCUAAGUGCGAAUACCCUUUUCCUCUUAAGGCUCAAAGCCUUGCUUGAAGGGUUGUUCCACCUGCCUGCCUAAUUAAAAGACAAAAUUUGAAAUUUCCUCCCUGUUCAAGUCUUCAGUCAUGUUGUGCAUGUCAAUAGCGUCCUCGUUCUGCCCUAGUUUUGUGCAUUUUUUCCUGUGAAUUUCAAUAUCCAGGAUCAGCAUGAAGUUAUUUUCUGUGCCAAAACCAUAGAUAAAUGAGUGUCAGAAGAAAGCCCUGGAACAGGUAGGAGCGUGGGUGUAAGGAGCAUCCCAGUUUGGCCAGUUUGGAGCAGCUAUAGAGCAAUGGCUGACACUGGAGGAGGAUGUGAGGCUUCAGCUGGCAGUAGUUAAUUAUGUUCCUCUGCAAGCUUUGUCCUGCUGCAAAGCAAAAUGGAUCCAAGGAAGUCGCAUGGCUCGUGUUAGGCAAGAAGAUCAUGAUGUUACACGUAUUUUUUUCUCCUAACUAUCUGUCUACAUGCUUAUUGCAAGUCAGGUUGCCAGGAGUGUAACUGAAUAAUUACCCUGUGCUGCCUUAUGGUAACCUUUGCAAGAAAGUGUUUAGAUCGAGGAACCAUGUGAACUACUCAUUAAUAUCUUAUAGGUCAGAGUUAAGGAUGUUGCAUUGUGAUGAAAUAUGUAUUUCUCCUUAUUUCUUAGGAAAAUGGGCUCCUGAGACAGAGUAAGAUUUAUGGUGAUCUUAAUUAGUUAUUUCCCAGCUUUCAAAAUGUUUGGGUUUCAGCGAUGAUAUGAUCGAUAAUUAACUUGUUGUCACACGGUGACUUUUAAAAUUAAAUGUAUGUUCUCCGUAAUAUUUAUCUCAAUAUGCAUCGUGUGUGUGCCAUGGUACAUACACACAGGUAUACAGAGAUGGAUGUGUGUGUAUGCAUCCCUGCAGUGUUCCCUCCGGCCGCAGGAGCGUGGCACGAUGCUCACGCCGUAGAUGUUGAGCCCAGGGUGUAGCAACGCAGUGCUGCUGAGAGGUGGGGUGUCAUGACAUUUUCUGCUGAAAUAGUAAGGUCUAAAGGAAGGGAGCUGUAUCCCUCGGUGCUGCAGCCCUCAGGGACAGCAGGGGCUGGGGAGCAGCUGCAGGGAAGGGCAGCACUGACCCCAAAUGGAGGUGGACCCUGGGCUCGUGGUGCCUUGCUGCUGCAGGGAGCAUGAUAUCUUUUUUUUUUUUUUUUUUUUUUUUUUUUUUUUUUUUUUUGGGGUUUUUCAUCAAAGCUUUAUAAAUAACAGACAAAGCCCCCAGGGAAUACCCUCCCAACCGGCCGCCUGUUGCAGAUCCUCCAGGAAACGGGAGGCGAAGGGAAGGAAGGCUAAAUCUGGUGGCUCUUAUUUUUAACAAGGGCUAUUUCAAUCCAUUUAAACCCACGCAAAAAAAAAAAAAAAAAAUACAGAGCCAUGGGAAAGUUUUGCUGGUGCUGGAGGAGCCUGGUAAGGUCUGUGACAUUACCAAGGGCAUCACAAGAAUGGGGAGCUGGGAGAUGGGGUGAGGUGCUCAAGGCCUCGCACAGUUCCUCAAGCAAAGCCAAGAAAUGAGCUUGCGUCCCUCAAAUUCUGGGCGUGAAAGCUGCUGUUAUUUUGCUUUAUGAAAAACUCCAUGACGAGCUUUUUCCUCUCGGCUGGCCCUUGUGGGAGCCGGCCAUUCACAGCACCAGAGCUGGAGGCACAUCCAGCGGCUUGGCAGCCUCUAUCCACGCUCCCCUGGCACUCUUCUGAGAGUGAAGGUGUUAACCUUGGUGUCCUGGCCUCCUGUCAGGAUAAGUAAUUGCAUUCAGCCUCCAUAACUGAGUCCCGUAACCACAGCUGGGUGCUGCCCUGAGGCUGCACGGUGCCCAGCGUGCCCCAACCCAGCACCACUGGGUGGCAACCAGGCAUGAGGGACAUGGAGAACAUGCUCAUCCUAACACUGCCACGUUUCCCGGUGCAGACUGCAAGCUGAAGCUGUCGCAUCAGGUUGGAUCCGGGACGCAAGCGAGGCUACGCAGAGGAUGCAAAAGGUCUCAGCAGGAGGAGGCACGGUGGCAUGUUCCAGGUCACCCUGUCAUGGUCCCUGUCACAGGCUGGCUGCUUGGGCUUCAUUUCUGAGGCUGGGGACUGCGAGUCUGAGGACCGUGGGGCCUCCAUUUUGGAGGCUCGUUGGCUGGUGAGCGGUGCGCAGGCCUCAGGAGCUGCUCUUUCACGUCGCUCCUCUGUGUGUGGGAAAGGAUUUCAAGAAACUAUUGACCAAAUGAAACCUCCGUAAUGCUUCUAAAUACUCAAACACAUUAGACAUGCCUGCCCAGCUCAGAGAUAAAUUAGAGCUAUUAUCACUAGAGCCCAGACAAACAAACGGAGGGCUCUCUCCAAACAAGCCAUUCACUCAAGAGACUGGAUUUACAAGGGUCAGGGAAGCAGCAUGAGCCGUAGGCACCUGCUUUCUUCUGAAACCUCUUUAAAUUGGCCAUAUUGACUGGGGCAGAGGGAAGGGAGGGAGCGCUGCUCUGCCCUUUGGGGUGUGGCGAUCCCAUCCGUGCGCGGCACCGUGAUGUACUGCUGGCAUUCUGCUCUCUGUCUGCAGUUAAAAGCUGCAAAUCCGACCCUAAUCCAUUUUGCUUUUCUCCCAGAUGCGGUUGGGAGAAUGAGGGGCUUGAGAACAUCAGGGAUGCCGAGGCUGUUUGCUCUGCUCUGCUCUGCUCUUGGGUUUUUGCUUCUGCUCCUAUGGAGGGGUUGGGAGCUGCGCUGGUAGUAAGGUGGCGAUGGGAGAGGUCAGAUCAAAUCAGCAUCUUGGGCAUCACUGAGACUGCCUGAAAGGGUAAACAGAAGCUGCAGUGUGUAUUUUGGGCUUGGUUUCACGUGGAGGAGGGAGGAAGGAACAGACACAAAGAAUAAAAGGAAGAAAAAGAGAGCAUUAUUCUGCUGCCUCGGUGCAGGGAACCUGGUGGCACAGCUAGCCACAAUGGCUGCAGGACUCAGCUCCCAGCGCGGCUGGGUGUCUGCAGAUGGGCUGUGCUCAGUCCCAAACCCAGCCUUGGUGCAACCAAAGGGAGCUGUGGGCUCAGCAGCACCGUGACCCCAGCCAUGUGCCAGGCAUCACGUGGUGGCUGUGAUGGAGAGCACUGUUCUCCUCGGAGGGAUACUCUCGAACCCAAAGGCUUGAACCCGCGCAUCUCUUCUUGGAAGAUAUCCAGUCUCCGUGUGCGACCUCUGGCUGGUGAUGAAUUUGCCAUUUCCCUUGGUAACCGGACCUGGUGAUUAACUACCCUCACUGCUCAAAAUUGUCUUUUAUUUCCCAUUCAAGGUUCCCUCACUCAGUGUUGUCAACUCCCGCUAUUUAUUUUGGGUUGUGCUGCGUACUGUGCCUUUUACCUGCGAGCCUAACGAUCAUGCCAGUCUCAGCUAUUUUCACUCUGUGGGUAUCUGGGCUCAAGUCACGAUGAAGAUUUCCUCUGACUGCUGAGCAGACAGAGCCCUUUCAGCCUUUUGCAGGGUUGAGCACAGGCGAAGCAGGAGCUGCGCUUACCACUGCCUCGAGCAUCUCCCAGCGCGUGGGAUUUUAUUUAAAGUCCCAGCCUCUGGACUCGCACCAUUACAAGGACUUGAUUUUGCAGAGACAUCAAAGCGUCACUCAAAAGGCAAACAAAAAUCAUCGUAUUUUGAGGGAUAUUUUUUCAAUUGUGUAAGGAAUUUUGUGAUGUUUUCGUUUAUUGGGAGUUGAAGGGGUGAGGAUGCUGGCUCAGUGACUAAUUAAUGAAACUGCCAACCCACUUGGGACAUCAUGGGGAUCAGGGGAUCUCUGCUUGCAUGUAUGUGGGGGUCCUGCAGGAUCCAAAAUUCCUAUGGCUCUUUCAUCUGUACAUCUCCCUCUGCUGGGCUAAUGCAUUUUGGGAACACCAGGGUUUAGGCUUUACUCAUCUUCCAUUGCUUUGGUCAUCUCCAUUUCUCCUGGUGGUCAUAGAUGGUGGCCACCCCUACAGGGCCAGGACAUUCCUGGAGCUGGAACUGGUGACUGCGCAGGCUUCACGUGAUGGAAAAGCUGCAAACAGAAAAACUUGGAAGGGAAAUGGUAGUAAUGGCUUGGAAAGCCCUUUUCAGAGUGGAAAAGGAUCUGCCUCGGACUAGCCUGGAGGUCAGACGCUGGGGAUGAUGGUGAUGCUGGCACAUUUGGGACAUUUAACAAGUCCUCUGAAAUGGGAAGGUAUGAACCAAGAGUGUUUCAAACUGGCACAAGAUGCCUGCUUUAAAAAUAGUGACACAAAGUGUUUCCUCUUUCUUCUUCCCUCUCCCUGCAUUUCUUUCCAGGAAAAAAAGACCUGUUGGUGAAGUUGGAUCUAGAGCAGCAACAGCCUUGGUUGCUGGCCCAAAGUGCUGAAAGCCCCCAAUACCAGGGUGCUGAGGGUCAGGAGAGCCUGAGGGCUCCAAGGCCUUGGAAACAAUUUUAUUUCUGUCAUAGGAGGGAUAAGAUCGUGUUUAGAUGCCAGCAAGUUAAUGAAUUAGAAGACAAAGGAUCAAAUGAACGUUCUUCAUUUUCUGAAAAGCAGGCGUGUCUUGGCUUUCAGUUACUGCAGGAGCAACUGAGAGCCGUUCACAUAUUUUCUCUGCAAAAUGGGCACCCUCUCCCUUUAUUGUGCCUGCCAUUGCCUGCCUAUCCAGCACCUAGAAAAACAUCCUGAUCUUGUCCAGGGAGCAAUACCAGUGCCAGUUACCUGCACCUGGAGACCCCAUGGGUUGGGAGCUGAGCUCUGCGCUUCUGCUCAGCUCAGUGUCUGAGGAAGCAAUGGUCUGAGCUGCUGAAGUCUGGGCACGGGCUGCAGCUCCAUCUCCACGUACCGCACUUCUCGGACUGGGAGAAGCUUCCCUGGCAAACUGGGAAGGAAUCCAGCUGGGGAGCUGGUGUGCUGGGAGCUGAUAGGGCUGGAAAUCUGAUUUCUGACUGUAUGUGCCUAUGUGUUUCUUGUGAAAGAAGGAGAGAGAGCCAGGCAUACUUUGAAUCCUGCAAUCAUUAAAACCAAUUCCACUUUUCCUGCCCCUGCCCACCUCCUGAUAUGUGUGUGAAACAAUCUUUACAGCUACACAGCCAUCAGAUGGUAUCGACCCAGCGGUGGAAAUUGCUAUUGACUGCUGCUGGUGCUGCUCUCUGCACUUCCGUGGCUUUUAAAGCGACACUAUCCAGGUGAUUUCAUUUUGCCCGUGAUAAAGCCUGGGAAGCCGAGCCUCAAACAGGCCAGAAUGGGGAUGUGUGUGAUGUGUGUAUGUGUGUGCAACAGAACACUGCUCACUGCUGCACAGCCAGGGGAAGGGUGUUAGAGCCAGAGGGGAGAAACGCUGACUCCAGAAACGCACACCUAAAGGGAAGGGUCAGGAGCGUGCUUCCUAUCUUGAUUCCAGCAAGAAGGGAUUCUUGCAUCCUGCUGCAGAUUUUCUCUUUUAGAUCUACUGCUUAAAAACCUGCUGCAAUUCCAGCACCAAACCAAGACCAACCCACUGCCCUUAUGAAGGAUCCAUCCAGAACUAGAGAGACUGAGGGACUGGAUACUUCGAUUUCUUGUUUUAAGGGACCCCUCUGAUUCCGCAUUAUGAAUUCUCUCUCAUCUGCUCUCAGUUCCAAAGGAAAAAACAGGAGAUAAUAAUGUUUGCCUUUUAGUGCGAGUGGUUUGUGUGCAGCCUAAAGAACUCCUUUCAUCAUGAAGCAUGAGAACAGGGCUCCAGCUCAGAACUGUAAAAAUGUGCAGUUUGUUUCCUCUGGGGCAAUUUAAUUGAUGGCAUUUGGUUAAUUCAGCACUUGGGGUUGGAGCUAAGUGGUGGUGAGGUGAGCUGAUAGAAGAACUGUGUAAAAGCUAAGGUUGGAGUCUGAUUGCAGCUGCACAGAGUAAAUCUUGUGUAACGCCAUUCUCGUGUCACCAGUAUCACCUGAGUUUCUAGUAUAGAAAAAGACCUGAGACUGAAUGGAGUCAGCCUAACCAGUGGGGGUGCAGAGGGGGCUACAUUCUGUAGGCUAUGAAAACAGCCUGAGCAUGCUUUGGUAAAUGAUUCUGGUCAGGGAAUAAAGUAGAGUGCUACUUGUAACUGCAGCCUACGGAUACCUCGCUCCAGACCUGGCUGAGCUUCCAUCCUUCCUCCACCAGCAGAGUUGGAGGUGCUGUUAUGGAAGGAAGGGAUGUUGUUCAUUCUCAUAAAGCUCUGCCUUUGCUCUUCCUCCUUGUGCCUUUGGCUUCAACCACACAGAAGUGCUCAGGAGCAGCAUCUGGCCAGAUGUGUCCACGAACGUGCCUCCUUUCUUGUGAUCUGGAAGUGACAGCCUAAAGCUUCUGAGACCCCAGCUCAAAUACAAACAACCAGUGCUCUAGCCCCUAAUUGAGACUUGCUUUCAGGCCCACCAGUAUCUUUCUCUCUGGCCUAAUUCUUGUAUUGCUCCAGAAAUAGACUAUUCAGCUGGAGAAAGAACAAUUAGCUGGAGAAAGAACAAUUAGCUGGAGAAAGGGGCUGAGCAGUCUGGAAUGUGGAAGGAGUUUUAGCUCUUUUAUUCAAGGCUAGGUAAGUGUGAGCCUGGUGAGGUCUUCCCUUGAAAUUCAAGCUCCUAUGCAAGGCUUACUUAGGGACCCUAAAAUCUGAAAGUUAGAUCUUCACUGUGAGUACAUUGGUACUCUAAGGCCACAAAUCCAGUGAUUUGGCUCAGGGCUGUGGCUUGCCCUCCUAGUAGCUGUGAACUAACCAGUUGGUAGCCCACCCAUUGCAUGCCAGUGCUAGGUGGAUUUGGGCUCGCUGCAAAAGAUGCAAACACAUUUUAUUCUGUGGGCUUUGCUCUCAUUCAGAGCUAGCCACAGCCUGUCCUUUCUGGCUUCCAUUUGGGAGAACUGUGCAGGUUCCUAGGGAGGGCAACGCGCUCCCCCAGCCCCUGUCAGCCCCCUUCCAGUGUCCCACACUAACUAGGUGCCACUGGACUGCGGAUGUGCCCUUAUCAAACAAGCAGCCUUUGAGAGUUUUUCUUUCUUCCAGGCUCAACCUGCCUAAAUCUUUCUGGGGGGAAGAUACGAUAUGCGAGUUGACAGCAGUUCUAGGUGAGAUUUUUUCCUCCUGGGAAAGCGUGGUAAGAAAUUAAGCUUUGUGGGUUUUCUGCCCAGUCGACCAGGAAAAGUGAAGUCCUUGGUGAACCUGGGUUGGGUCUGGAGGCAGGAGAGCUGCUGCUGUGAUUUGUGGUUAUAAUCUCUGCAGCACUGCCUCCUUUCUCAGAAGUGAGAGGCAAGUGGCUUUGACACCUCUGUAUGACCUGGGAGCUACAGGGAAGCAGCGGUGACAUGUUCUGGGAAGACAAGGUCGUCGGCAAGGGUGGUGUGAGCAUCUUUCGUCCGGCUGACUGUACAGCAAUCCAAACAAUUAGGAGGAAUUCACAGGAAUGAAAGGGAAAUCUUCGAUUUGGGUUGCUGUGGGUUUGUGAUUUGGUCCUUCCCAAGGUGGUGUGCAAUACAGCAAGGUUACUGGGAAGGCUGCUGGUAAAAGCAGUAGCGAAAAUGGAUGUCUAGUUGUGAAACCUAUCUGUCCUACAACCUUCAGGGCCUGCCAAGGGACAUGUUCCAUGGGCUGUGAAGAACCAAUAUGGGACACGACCAUAUAUCAGUGAUUAUAUCGAUCACUGUCUCAGACCCGCUCAGUCAAGGGCACCGGCACCUUUGCAGGGGAAGUUUUGCUCCUGCUCUGGGAGUCAGGGGAGUGCACCGAGUAUGUGGCAGUGACUGUGUGAGAGGGGAAAUGACCCUGUUUUAGGGAAUGCUGUGCCCGUGCUCCAAACAAUUAGUAGAAUGGAGCUGAGUAAAGUACAGGAGGGACCCGACUGACAAUAAGCAAAGUGCUGAAAUAUGGGAAGUUGGGGAAGAAGCCAAAUGAAAAUGAAAUGAAAGGCUAAGGUCCAAUUUCAGCAGUUGCGUAGAAAGGACGGGACAGCUGAUAACUGGAAAGCCUGAAGGAACACUGGGUCAAAAACACCACUGGAGGAACCCACGGAAAAGCCAAGGGGGGGAUUUUAUUGAAAAGUGAGACAGCAGAUUGGAGCUGUUGGUUUAUUGAUGGCCACAGAGACCCAAGUGUCACACUGUGACCCCCCUGCUCGCUGCUCUGUGCUGAUGGCCAGCUUGAGGUGUGCAUGGGAAGGUAGGCUCUAGCUUGGAGAGCAGCAAGGGUCUCCUUGGCAAGAGGUCUUUGCACAAGAGGGGACAAUUCCCACCAGCUUUACUAUCUGAAACCUGCCUCUACUUUUGCAGCCUUUCUCAGCCUUGGACUUCUGUGGAAAGCUCUAGAGAGGAAAAACAACUUCUGCCUGGAGAUGAACUCAAAAAAUGAGGGUAGGUGACAUUGUGGAAGACGACCUAAAACCAUGAGUCUGUGUCUGAGGCACGAAGGAAGUCAUUCCAGAUACCCAUAGCUCACAUGGGGCAGCAGGAUUUUCUUUCACACUGUGCUCAAGCUAGAUCGUAUGGGGUCACCUUGGAGUGGUUAAGAGUGGCUCUUGCUAGUGGUGAAGCCCUUCUUGUCCCUUCAUUUUCCCAUCUGUAAAAGAAGGCCAGGAGUAUGCCUGUUUUGCAAACCAUCUGGAAAUGGGCUUGCUACAAAAAUGAGCCCGCAGUGCAGGUGGUGAAGAGGAGCUCUCGUUUAAAGGCCUGACUUGAGAUCUCAUGGAGAAGCUGUGGAAUAUACUCAUGUGUUUGCUCCUCUAAUGUGGCUUUCUGUUUUAAAAAAGCACCGUGCAGAAUGUGAGACACACUCGGUAAGAGUGAAUUUAACAGCUCUUUCCUAUCCUUUGAGGAACAUCAGUAUUGGCUGAAAGAGGGAAAAAGACCAUUUUUGUCGAGUCCAGAAUAGACCUGCUUUUACUGGAGGCAUCUGAGUGCUUUUGCUGAUAUUUCCUCUGAUAGCUUUUACCUGACUUGUUUUCAAAGCCCGCGUUGAAAUUUUUCAGUCUUCAGAAACUGUAUUUUCCUAGUUAGAGUCUGAGAUCUGGAAUGGUGUCCAAAAUGAUUUCGCAAAUGGCUUGCUACAAUGUCAAAGUCACAGAAAUAGGACAUUCUGCGGGGUAAGUCACCUGUUUAUUUCGGGGAGGGCAGAGAAUUUAUUCCAAACAGUGCCAUUUGCUUUUCAAUUACAGACAUUUUUGUGGAAAAAAAAUUGCGGCAGCCUCUAAGAAAAAGCACGUGAUCACAAUUAAAGAAUGUGCUGUGCUGUAUCAGAAGGUAGCAUUUAAAGCGGGGAAAGACUGAAUAUUGGCUAUAACUCAUUGUAAUUAUACCAUCUAUUUCAAACAUGUAAAUAUGUUUGGUAGCACUUACAUGUUUAUGUCAGCUAUUGGGAAAAGCAGUUUUCCUUUUUGGUAAACUUCUGAUGAUAAGAGUUUUGUUACUUGCAUUUGAAUAAGCAACAAACAGCAAGUUUAGGCGCAUUCUUAUGAGAACAGAAGUUGAUCGUGUCCCCUGUGGCUGCAGCGUGUUGAGGUUGUUUGUAAUAGCAUUGUGAAUAGGAGAUGUUAAUGGACAAUGAAAAAUGCACGUAUUUUAAUAGAACACACCGUUAGCAUGUUAAAGUUGGUGUGAUGUAGAGGAUUGAACAUGAGCCUGGAGUGAGGUGACCGGGAAACCAUUUCUGGCUCUGCCAGUCCCUGGCCCGAUGAACACCAACAAAUCCCAUCCUUUAACUGGGAGGAGCCAAAUUGAGCUCCUUUAGAAAAGGCUUUGCUAUCUACAGAUCAAGAUGACUCCAGAAGACCCAAGCACUUUGCAGAAGUCUAAUGUGUAAACCAUGCAAAAUCUUGAACGCUGAUUUAGCCUGGCAUGGUGAGUGAAGCUAUGUCUCUGCUAAAAUGGAUGAGAAAACUCCCUUAGCUUCUGGGGACCGGGAUCCUUCGCCAGGGGAAAUUAUUCUGAGCCUAUUUCCUUUCCCUUUGACAUUUUCUGUCUUAUCAAAAGUCAGAUGAGUAAGGGAGAAGGAUAAUGACUAAACUGACAAAUAAACAAUCAGUUCAAAAAAAGCAACACAACAUUUCCAAGUAAAUUUAAGAGUCUUCUCUGAAAACCUGCUAGGAAUUUAUACUCUGCCACAUUUAACCCAAGAGAGACCAUCCACCCAGAGCUCACUGCGCUACCAGGGCUGCGGCGGGCUGGGGAAUGGGAUGGGGUGCUUAUUCCCGGAAUAAAUUAAGGAAAAUUGCAGGAGAGAGAGGAAAAUGAAUUUGGUCACGAAGAACAGAGGAGGGCAUCAGCACGGAGGUGUCUCGGUUUUCAGACCUCAAAGCAAAAGAGUCCACGGAACUCAGGCUCUCCUCACCAAAAUGAAAAUAUUUAGGGAGCCACAGGGCAGGAGAUCACUUUUCAUCCCAUCGUGAUGUAGGCGUUGGGGAUGCUGAUGGGGAAACGCAUUGCUCGUGCUCAGAGAAACAGUGCGCUUGGCCCCUCAUCCAGGGCUUCGCUUUGCCAUGGGAACGAUGCAUUAACAACAGCUUGUUUUUCAUUUAAUAAAUAAUAGGAAUUACGUCAUGGCGGAGCCAAGAUUUUAAACAAGAGGCUCCCAUAAACAUUUUCUUCGGGAAUCUGUGAUAAACCAAAGACAGCGAUAGACCUACUCACAGGGAGCGGAGCCGGCAGACUUGGAGCCUGUCCAUCUGCUUCACCAUCAAAACAAAACCACUUUAUAACAACCACAGAGGAAAGGAAGCGAUGCAGCUUGGCAUAUACACUUAUACUAUGUGUGGUGGAAAUGUUUAUUCUUUAUUUCAGAAAGAUUUAGUGGGUGUAGAGAUAAUAGAGUAUAGCGCCUGCUCGCGUGUUGGGGAAGGAGGGGUGAUGGUGUUUGGGCUUUAAGGGAGUCCAGUGUCGGCUCCCAAGGGGGAUAUUUUCGGUAAUGCCUAUUGCAGUCUCAUGCACUUGGAAGUGGAAGGAGACAGAAGAAUGAAAUGUGCUUUUCAGGAGAGAUGUUGUAAAGGCCCCAGGAUUAGUUAUCUCUGACAGGAAGGAUUUUACAGACUCCAGUAGAUGGCAGAGAGUCCUGGCCAUGCCUGACUGCUCCUCCAAGGCUCCGUGCUGGAUGCCUGCCUUGGAGCAGCUGCCUUGGAGCAGCUUGGAGCAUGAGGUUCCUCUCCCUGUGACACACCACAGGGUCACCUUGGGCUCACGGGGCCGCCUCGGGCUCAGUGCCCCUCACGUGCCUCAUCUCCCAUGCACGACAACUUCCCCAAGAGUCUUCUGGCUCCUGCUCCCAUGCAUUUACCUGAUGUGAUGAGGCAUCAAGCUGUGACUUGGGAAAUGGGGAAGGGUCAGUGGGCCACCACAUCCCACAUGCCCCGGUGUCACUGGGGUGCCGCUGUCUAUCCUCCCCAAACUGGUCUGUCACCACGCUCUGAUCUGCCGUGCUACCUCUCCUUGGAGCUGCUCAAGAUCAAACCCAACAGAUCCUGUUCUGACCUCUGGGGAUGGGAGAGUCCCUGCCAAAUUUUGAGACAGCAUACGUCUAGACUUGGUGUGCUAGAAAGGGAGAUGACUAAGUGUCUGAAAGGUUGGACCUUUGGAGAGAAGUCCCUUGGCUCCUUGUUCCUUGGAUUAAGUUCCAUUUCCUGUGCAGCCAUGGAGACACUGAAUAUUUUCUCCUUGUUUUUGGCCUUUUCAAAUAAAGCAAAAAAAAGACAUAGAUACGUCUUGGGUGAAAAGCUGAUGAAAAAUUUUGGCAAGCCAAGAAACAAAAAGAAUGCGUUGAGUGAAACAUUUCACAGCGACAAAAAUCAAAACAUCUCAUUUCGCCUUCAACCACUUUAAAACAUUUUAAUGGUUCGAAAGGAAAUUUCCAAGUGGAAAGUCGUGUUUUGCUUAAAAUAUUGGAAAGCGUUUCAUUAAAAAGGAAGAGU